UUUCUAUGAAUAGAUGCCAUCCCAGGUUCCUUCUACACUGCCAUAUAAUCCAGAUUAUCUGUUUUGAUUUUAUAUGGCAAUGUAGAGGAAGGUUUCUUUUCCCACCACGACCCCUUUC
rnacentral:precursor_RNA from 11 species